rnacentral:rRNA from 1 species
GUAGGUGGCAAGCGUUGUCCGGAAUUAUUGGGCGUAAAGCGCGCGCAGGUGGUUCUUUAAGUCUGAUGUGAAAGCCCCCGGCUCAACCGGGGAGGGUCAUUGGAAACUGGGGAACUUGAGUGCAGGAGAGGAAAGUGGAAUUCCACGUGUAGCGGUGAAAUGCGUAGAUAUGUGGAGGAACACCAGUGGCGAAGGCGACUUUCUGGCCUGUAACUGACACUGAGGCGCGAGAGCGUGGGGAGCAAACAGGGAUUAGAUACCCUGGUAGUCCACGCCGUAAACGAUGAGUGCUAAGUGUUGGGGGGGUUUCCGCCCCCUCAGUGCCGCAGCUAACGCAUUAAGCACUCCGCCUGGGGAGUACGGUCGCAAGACUG